rnacentral:rRNA from 1 species
CGUACGGCGAGUGAGCGGCAAAAGCUCAAAUUUGAAAUCUGGUACCUUCGGUGCCCGAGUUGUAAUUUGUAGAAGGUAACUUUGGGGCUGGUCCUUGUCUAUGUUCCUUGGAACAGGACGUCAUAGAGGGUGAGAAUCCCGUGUGGCGAGGAUCCCAGUUCUUUGUAAAGUGCUUUCGAAGAGUCGAGUUGUUUGGGAAUGCAGCUCUAAGUGGGUGGUAAAUUCCAUCUAAAGCUAAAUAUUGGCGAGAGACCGAUAGCGAACAAGUACAGUGAUGGAAAGAUGAAAAGAACUUUGAAAAGAGAGUGAAAAAGUACGUGAAAUUGUUGAAAGGGAAGGGCAUUUGAUCAGACAUGGUGUUUUGCGCCCUCUGCUCCUUGUGGGUGGGGGAAUCUCGCAGCUCACUGGGCCAGCAUCAGUUUUGGCGGCAGGAUAAAUCUGCAGGAAUGUAGCUUGCCUCGGUAAGUGUUAUAUCCUGUAGAAAUACUGCCAGCUGGGACUGAGGACUGCGACUUUACGUCAAGGAUGCUGGCAUAAUGGUUAUAUGCCGCCCGUCUUGAACCACGGACCAAAAA